AGUAUAUUGCAGCCAAUGCCAAAUGGGACACCUGUUAAUUUAUUAGGAACUUCCAAGAAUAGUAACCUCAAAAGUUACAUCAAAAAUAAUGGCUCUUCAUCAUCUCAUUCAUUUAAUUGGAGAAAAGCAAAUAAAUACCAACUUUGUGCACAAGGUGCCGAAGAUCCUAACAAUACUCACAAUUCACACGAUAAAAUAAUUGAUCCUAAAAAACAUGUUACCACUCAAAGAAUGUUUGAUAAAAAUGGGAUAAAGGGAGGUUUGAAAAGUAUUUUGUUAUUCACAUCAAAGUUAGCAAAGCCAUCCACUAUGUUAAUGUCAUCUACAGAGGAGUUACACCAAAAGUCUUUUUCUGUACCGUCUAAUUUGGGUAAAUUUACCAAAGGCACAUUAUUAGGAAGGACUUCAUAUUCUUUGGUCAAUACUCCAAAAUCACGGAUUUUGGAGUUGAACGGAUUUUAUGGAAACCGGUUGGCUAGUAGCAAUGCAAAGGCCUAGAGCAAACUCCUGUACCACCUGAAGCAGUUCUGGUGAAAGCCUAACUUAAUCCCCAGACACAGUAGUAAAUCUAUUAAUUGUGAAAAAAUGGUAAGGUCACAAAGUUUUUCACAUUCCAUUCAGAAUUCAUUCCUUCCACCUUCAUCUAUAACCAGAUCACAUUCCUUUAAUAGAGCAGUGGAUCUUACAAAGCCUUAUCAAAACCAACAGCUAUCCAUUAGAGUGCCUCUACGGUCAAGUAUGCUAACAAGAAAUUCCCGGCAGUCAGAAGUACUCAAUGGGAAUGAACAUUUGGGGUAUGGAUUUAAUAGGCCUUAUGCUGCUGGUGGAAAGAAGUUGGCUUUACCAAAUGGCCCAGGUAUAACUUCUACUUUAGGUUAUAGAAUGGUUCAUCCCUCUCUACUGAAAUCUAGCCGAUCUCCAUUUUCUGGGACUAUCACAGUUGAUGGAAAUAAAAAUUCACCUGCUGACACAUAUAUAGAGGAAGAUGCUGCAGUUUUGGCUGAGGACAGAGCUACUAGUAAGGACCAAGAACUGAUUGAAAAUGAAAGUUACAGAACAAAAAACAACCAGAGCAUGAAACAUGAUGCUAAAACGAGAUACCUGAGUGAUGAUGUGGAUGACAUUUCCUUGUCUUCUUUGUCAUCUUCUGACAAGAAUGAUUUAAGUGAAGACUUUAGUGAUGAUUUUAUAGAUAUAGAAGACUCUAACAGAACUAGAAUAACUCCAGAGGAAAUGUCUGUCAAAGAAGAGAAGCAUGAAAAUGUGCCACCACAGGAUGUAUUUGAUUCCCCCAAGGAAAAUGUAAAAGCUCUCAGUAAAACUAAUGAAUGGAUAGACAUAAGUGUCUCUGACAGGAGUGAAUGUACAAAACAUGCGUCUGGGAAUAAUUUCGUUUCACCGGAUACAGACUACAGAGCUGGUUCUUCAUUUGAACUCUCUCCAUCUGAUAGCUCUGAUGGAACAUACAUGUGGGAUGAAGAAGGCUUGGAACCCAUUGGAAAUGUCCAUCCGGUUGGGAGCUAUGAGUCCUCUGAAAUGAACAGCAUAGUAUGUAUGGAUUUAUAUAUUCUUGGAACAUUUUGUUUACCCUAUUAUAGGGACACUUGUACUAUGAUUGAUUUUUUAGAAAGUUUAUGAGUUAACGUUACUACUUUGAGAAAUGGGAAUUCAUGUUUCUUAAGAGCCUAUAAAAUAUCUGACCCUAGUAGGAAAUAAAGCGUGAGAAUAUAUGACAUUUGACUUAAAUAUA